GAUGAACGCUAGCGGCAGGCCUAAUACAUGCAAGUCGAACGGUGUAGCAAUAAACAGUGGCGCACGGGUGCGUAACACGUAUGCAACCUACCUUACAUUGGGGGAUAGCCUUUCGAAAGGGAGAUUAAUACCGCAUAAGACAGUAACUAGGCAUCUAGUAGCUGUUAAAGAUUUAUCGAUGUAAGCUGGGCAUGCGUCCAAUUAGUUAGCUGGCGAGGUAAUGGCUCACCAAGACGAUGAUUGGUAGGGGAACUGAGAGGUCAAUCCCCCACACUGGCACUGAGAUACGGGCCAGACUCCUACGGGAGGCAGCAGUAGGGAAUAUUGGGCAAUGGGCGCAAGCCUGACCCAGCCAUGCCGCGCGCAGGAAGAAGGCGUUAUGCGUUGUAAACUGCUUUUAUACAGGAAGAAACGACCCUUGCGAGGGGCAUUGACGGUACUGUAUGAAUAAGCACCGGCUAACUCCGUGCCAGCCGCCGCCGUAAGAC
rnacentral:rRNA from 1 species